rnacentral:rRNA from 1 species
GUGGGGAAUAUUGGACAAUGGGCGCAAGCCUGAUCCAGCAAUGCCGCGUGUGUGAAGAAGGUCUUAGGAUUGUAAAGCACUUUCGACGGGGACGAUGAUGACGGUACCCGUAGAAGAAGCCCCGGCUAACUUCGUGCCAGCAGCCGCGGUAAUACGAAGGGGGCUAGCGUUGCUCGGAAUGACUGGGCGUAAAGGGCGCGUAGGCGGUGAUGACAGUCAGGCGUGAAAUUCCUGGGCUCAACCUGGGGGCUGCGCUUGAUACGUGAUUGCUAGAGUGUGGAAGAGGGUCGUGGAAUUCCCAGUGUAGAGGUGAAAUUCGUAGAUAUUGGGAAGAACACCGGUGGCGAAGGCGGCGACCUGGUCCAUUACUGACGCUGAGGCGCGAAAGCGUGGGGAGCAAACAGG